GUAAUAUGUGGGACUAGAAAUCAGAGUCAACAGCCUGGCUCCAGAGGUUAAGCACAGAACAUUCUACUGAAAAACUAAAUGAUAAGGUUUUUUUGUGGUUUACUCUUCCCUGGGAUCAUUUGUCACCAUUACAGCCCUGUGGCUGCUUCUUUUGUUAUCUUGUUCAGACUUGUAGGAAGUAGAUGGCACCUAAUAGAAUCCCUUUGAAACCAGAAGGGACACAAGCAUGCCAUGUGGGGUAGGGUCCAGCUUUGAGCACACUUCUGACUCCUCUUUCCCUUUUCCAGAGGAAAAUCACUCUGCUGUCCAUGCCCUGGAACAAUUGGCUCCCAAAAGCAAAGCUUGUCUGUGAUGGGAUGCCAGCUCAUGGUGGAAUUUUCGUAUUUUGCCAAUGUUGAUCUGGCCUGGAAUGCUGUUCACCCACUUCCUUCAGCCACUGAAGCCAAUGCUGAGAUUGUGUGGCUAAUUUCUAUGACAGCCAUGGUGUAGACAUGAACCAAAGCACAAACCUGCACAGAUUUGCGCACAGGGAUGCAGCCAGGGGUUCUCUCUAUGAACUGCCUCUGAUUAGCAUCAGUUCAGCUGUGCUUCGUCUGUUGUGAUUCCAAGUACACGCGAUCAUUGAUGGGAGGCCAAUGGCUUAGAAAUGGAUGGCCAGGAAAAACAAUGACAAG
rnacentral:lncRNA from 1 species